CGCCGUCGAACCGUUGAACGCAGUCGUCCACCUGCAAUCACCUAAAAAACUCUCACUUUCCUCAGUCCGGAAAAACAAUCGCUGCACUUGAACAGUUUUUAUGCCUUGCUGGUUGGUGUAGAAAAGUGAAGUGCUAACGAAUCUACUGUGGAAAAGUGACAGUUAAGUGUUUUUCAUCACACGAAAAGAAUGACUGGAAGUUUUCAAGGCGAACAUCAAAGAGU